AGUGAACGCUGGCGGUAGGCCUAACACAUGCAAGUCGAACGGCAGCACAGUAAGAGCUUGCUCUUACGGGUGGCGAGUGGCGGACGGGUGAGGAAUACAUCGGAAUCUACUUUUUCGUGGGGGAUAACGUAGGGAAACUUACGCUAAUACCGCAUACGACCUACGGGUGAAAGCAGGGGAUCUUCGGACCUUGCGCGAUUGAAUGAGCCGAUGUCGGAUUAGCUAGUUGGCGGGGUAAAGGCCCACCAAGGCGACGAUCCGUAGCUGGUCUGAGAGGAUGACCGCCCACAUGGAAAUGAGGCCACGUCCAGGACCCUAACGGAGGGAGGAGUUGGGAAUAUUGGGCAAUGGGCGGAAGGCUGAUCCCGCCCUACCGCGUGGGGUGAGGAGGCCCUCGGGGUGGAAAGCCCUUUUGUUGGGAAAGAAAAGCAGCAGGUUAAUACCCCGCUGUUCUGACGGUACCCAAAGAAUAAGCACCGGCUAACUUCGUG
rnacentral:rRNA from 1 species